ACGGGUGAGUAACACGUGGGCAACCUGCCCUUGAGCCUGGGAUAACUUCGGGAAACCGGAGCUAAUACCGGAUAAUAUAAGGAACCUCCUGGUUCCUUAUUGAAAGAUGGUUUCGGCUAUCACUUAAGGAUGGGCCCGCGGCGCAUUAGCUAGUUGGUGAGGUAACGGCUCACCAAGGCGACGAUGCGUAGCCGACCUGAGAGGGUGAUCGGCCACACUGGGACUGAGACACGGCCCAGACUCCUACGGGAGGCAGCAGUAGGGAAUCUUCCACAAUGGACGAAAGUCUGAUGGAGCAACGCCGCGUGAGUGAUGAAGGCCUUCGGGUCGUAAAGCUCUGUUGUUAGGGAAGAACAAGUGCGAGAGUAACUGCUCGCACCUUGACGGUACCUAACCAGAAAGCCACGGCUAACUACGUGCCAGCAGCCGCGGUAAUACGUAGGUGGCAAGCGUUAUCCGGAAUUAUUGGGCGUAAAGCGCGCGCAGGUGGUUUCUUAAGUCUGAUGUGAAAGCCCACGGCUCAACCGUGGAGGGUCAUUGGAAACUGGGGAACUUGAGUGCAGAAGAGGAAAGUGGAAUUCC
rnacentral:rRNA from 1 species